GACGAACGCUGGCGGCGUGCUUAACACAUGCAAGUCGUACGGUAAGGCCCUUUCGGGGGUACACGAGUGGCGAACGGGUGAGUAUCACGUGAGUAACCUGCCCACAACUUUGGGAUAACGCUAGGAAACUGGUGCUAAUACUGGAUAUGUGCUCCUGCUGCAUGGUGGGGGUUGGAAAGCUCCGGCGGUUGUGGAUGGACUCGCGGCCUAUCAGCUUGUUGGUGGGGUAGUGGCCUACCAAGGCGGCGACGGGUAGCCGGCCUGAGAGGGUGACCGGCCACAUUGGGACUGAGAUACGGCCCAGACUCCUACGGGAGGCAGCAGUGGGGAAUAUUGCACAAUGGGCGCAAGCCUGAUGCAGCAACGCCGCGUGCGGGAUGACGGCCUUCGGGUUGUAAACCGCUUUCAGCAGGGACGAAGCUUUUUGUGACGGUACCUGCAGAAGAAGCACCGGCUAACUACGUG
rnacentral:rRNA from 1 species